AUUGAACGCUGGCGGCAGGCCUAACACAUGCAGGUCGAGCGGAUGAAGGGAGCUUGCUCCUGGAUUCAGCGGCGGACGGGUGAGUAAUGCCUAGGAAUCUGCCUGGUAGUGGGGGAUAACGUCCGGAAACGGGCGCUAAUACCGCAUACGUCCUGAGGGAGAAAGUGGGGGAUCUUCGGACCUCACGCUAUCAGAUGAGCCCAGGUCGGAUUAGCUAGUUGGUGGGGUAAAGGCCUACCAAGGCGACGAUCCGUAACUGGUCUGAGAGGAUGAUCAGUCACACUGGAACUGAGACACGGUCCAGACUCCUACGGGAGGCAGCAGUGGGGAAUAUUGGACAAUGGGCGAAAGCCUGAUCCAGCCAUGCCGCGUGUGUGAAGAAGGUCUUCGGAUUGUAAAGCACUUUAAGUUGGGAGGAAGGGCAGUAAGUUAAUACCUUGCUGUUUUGACGUUACCAACAGAAUAAGCACCGGCUAACUUCGUG
rnacentral:rRNA from 1 species